UACGGAGGGUGCGAGCGUUGUCCGGAAUCACUGGGCGUAAAGGGCGCGUAGGCGGCGCGGGAAGUCGUCGGUGAAAGCUCAGGCUCAACUCUGAGUCGGCCGGCGAUACUCUCGUGCUCGAGCACUGUAGAGGCAGGUGGAAUUCCGGGUGUAGCGGUGGAAUGCGUAGAGAUCGGGAGGAACACCAGAGGCGAAGGCGGCGACCUGGAUAGGCACUGACACUCAACUGCGAAAGCGUGGGGAGCAAACAGG
rnacentral:rRNA from 1 species